UAAUCUGUUUAGGGAAGAUCAUUAUCUGGUUGUGGUAGACCCACACCUAGCUACUCAGAAUCACUUGUUAUCGCAAGCCUAACUAUAUAAAUUUCUCUCUUGAUGGGAACCUCCUCAUCCUAUUUGCCUAAACACAUU
rfam:Populus trichocarpa isolate Nisqually-1 chromosome 13, whole genome shotgun sequence.